rnacentral:rRNA from 1 species
GAUGAACGCUGGCUACAGGCUUAACACAUGCAAGUCGAGGGGAAACGACGGGGAAGCUUGCUUCCCCGGGCGUCGACCGGCGCACGGGUGAGUAACGCGUAUCCAACCUGCCUCUGACUGAGGGAUAACCCGUCGAAAGUCAGCCUAAUACCUCAUGGCAUCGUCUGCGGGCAUCCAACGACGAUUAAAGAUUUCAUCGGUCAGGGAGGGGGAUGCGUCUGAUUAGCUUGUUGGCGGGUUAACGGCCCACCAAGGCUACGAUCAGUAGGGGUUCUGAGAGGAAGGUCCCCGAGAUUGGAACUGAGAAACGGUCCAAACUCCUACGGGAGGCAGCAGUGAGGAAUAUUGGUGAAGGGGAGGGAGCCUGAACCAGCCAAGUAGCGUGCAGGAUGACGGCGCUAUGGGUGGUAAACUGCUUUUAUGCGGGGAUAAAGUGAGGGACGUGUCCUUCAUUGCAGGUACCGGAUGAAUAAGGACCGGCUAAUUCCGUG